rnacentral:rRNA from 1 species
UACGUAGGCGGCAAGCGUUAUCCGGAAUUACUGGGUGUAAAGGGUGUGUAGGCGGGAUCUUAAGUCCGAUGUGAAAUCUUCAGGCUCAACCUCGAGGCUGCAUCUGAAACUGAGGUACUUGAGUGCUGGAGAGGAAAACGGAAUUUCUAGUGUAGCGGUGAAAUGCGUAGAUAUUAGGAGGAACACCAGUGGCGAAGGCGCCCUUCUGGACAGUAACUGACGCUGAGGGGCGAAAGCGUGGGGAGAAAAUAGG